AGUGAACGCUGGCGGUAGGCCUAACACAUGCAAGUCGAACGGCAGCACAGUGAGAGCUUGCUCUUACGGGUGGCGAGUGGCGGACGGGUGAGGAAUACAUCGGAAUCUACUUUUUCGUGGGGGAUAACGUAGGGAAACUUACGCUAAUACCGCAUACGACCUACGGGUGAAAGCAGGGGAUCUUCGGACCUUGCGCGAUUGAAUGAGCCGAUGUCGGAUUAGCUAGUUGGCGGGGUAAAGGCCCACCAAGGCGACGAUCCGUAGCUGGUCUGAGAGGAUGAUCAGCCACACUGGAACUGAGCCACGGUCCAGACUCCUACGGGAGGCAGCAGUGGGGAAUAUUGGACAAUGGGCGCAAGCCUGAUCCAGCCAUACCGCGUGGGUGAAGAAGGCCUUCGGGUUGUAAAGCCCUUUUGUUGGGAAAGAAAAGCAGCAGGUUAAUACCCCGCUGUUCUGACGGUACCCAAAGAAUAAGCACCGGCUAACUUCGUG
rnacentral:rRNA from 1 species